UGGGGAAUGUUGCACAAUGGGCGCAAGCCUGAUGCAGCCAUGCCGCGUGUAUGAAGAAGGCCUUCGGGUUGUAAAGUACUUUCAGUCGGGAGGAAGGUGUCAAGGUUAAUAACCUUGGCAAUUGACGUUACCGACAGAAGAAGCACCGGCUAACUCCGUGCCAGCAGCCGCGGUAAUACGGAGGGUGCAAGCGUUAAUCGGAAUUACUGGGCGUAAAGCGCACGCAGGCGGUUGAUUGAGUCAGAUGUGAAAUCCCCGGGCUUAACCCGGGAAUUGCAUCUGAUACUGGUCAGCUAGAGUCUUGUAGAGGGGGGUAGAAUUCCAUGUGUAGCGGUGAAAUGCGUAGAGAUGUGGAGGAAUACCGGUGGCGAAGGCGGCCCCCUGGACAAAGACUGACGCUCAGGUGCGAAAGCGUGGGGAGCAAACAGG
rnacentral:rRNA from 1 species